rnacentral:rRNA from 1 species
GAUGAACGCUGGCGGCGUGCCUAAUACAUGCAAGUCGAGCGAACGGACGAGAAUCUUGCUUCUCUGAUGUUAGCGGCGGACGGGUGAGUAACACGUGGAUAACCUACCUAUAAGACUGGGAUAACUUCGGGAAACCGGAGCUAAUACCGGAUAAUAUUUUGAACCGCAUGGUUCAAAAGUGAAAGACGGUCUUGCUGUCACUUCUAGAUGGAUCCGCGCUGCAUUAGCUAGUUGGUAAGGUAACGGCUUACCAAGGCAACGAUGCAUAGCCGACCUGAGAGGGUGAUCGGCCACACUGGAACUGAGACACGGUCCAGACUCCUACGGGAGGCAGCAGUAGGGAAUCUUCCGCAAUGGGCGAAAGCCUGACGGAGCAACGCCGCGUGAGUGAUGAAGGUCUUCGGAUCGUAAAACUCUGUUAUUAGGGAAGAACAUAUGUGUAAGUAACUGUGCACAUCUUGACGGUACCUAAUCAGAAAGCCACGGCUAACUACGUG